GCGCCCGUAGCCCAAUGGAUAGAGCAAUAGCCUUCUAAGCUAUCGGUUGCAGGUUCGAGUCCUGCCGGGCGCGCCA
rnacentral:tRNA from 1 species